ACGAACGCUGGCGGCGUGCUUAACACAUGCAAGUCGAACGGAAAGGCCCUGCUUUUGUGGGGUGCUCGCGUGGCGAACGGGUGAGUAACACGUGAGUAACCUGCCCUUGACUUUGGGAUAACUUCAGGAAACUGGGGCUAAUACCGGAUAGGAGCUCCUGCUGCAUGGUGGGGGUUGGAAAGUUUCGGCGGUUGGGGAUGGACUCGCGGCUUAUCAGCUUGUUGGUGGGGUAGUGGCUUACCAAGGCUUUGACGGGUAGCCGGCCUGAGAGGGUGACCGGCCACAUUGGGACUGAGAUACGGCCCCGACUCCUACGGGAGGCAGCAGUGGGGAAUAUUGCACAAUGGGCGGAAGCCUGAUGCAGCAACGCCGCGUGCGGGAUGACGGCCUUCGGGUUGUAAACCGCUUUCGCCUGUGACGAAGCGUGAGUGACGGUAAUGGGUAAAGAAGCACCGGCUAACUACGUG
rnacentral:rRNA from 1 species